rnacentral:lncRNA from 1 species
UGAUAAUUGAUCGAUCCGAUAGGAUAGGAUGACGAUAAACCCCCCUAUCUCUACAGUCUACAGUCUACACGCAGGUGGGCAGGUGUCCGUCGUCUUUCUCCACACCAGGAUUAAACAUAUCAAUCCAUCAACGUCACGCGCCACUGCUUCGCCGACGCACAGAUCCACCAGCCAAGCGUACGUUUCACCCCUCCUCGCCCAACACUACCGAAAUCAACCUCCCAAGAACAGCGUGCCCGGAUCACCGGCGAACCGCGAGCACUCCGUCGGCUGCGCCUGUUUAACGCGGCGAUGAGCUCGGCGGCGCACCAGCGACAGCCCCACGCGGUGCUGAUCCCGCAGCCGGCGCAGGGGCACGUCACACCGAUGCUGCACCUCGCCAAGGCGCUGCACGCCCGGGGCUUCCGCGUCACCUUCGUCAACUCCGAGUACAACCGCCGCCGCCUGCUCCGGUCCCGCGGUCCGGGCUCGCUGGACGGCGCCGACGGCUUCAGCUUCGAGGCCGUCCCGGACGGCAUGCCACCGCCGUCCGACGACCAUGGCGACGACGUCACGCAGGACAUCGCCGCCAGGGCCGGUCCUCAGAUUUCGGUGGCCCGGGGCUAAACUAAAAUUUAAGACCCCUAAGUAUAAAUAAAUAGUAUAGGUUAGCGAAAUAAAUAGCAAGAAAAAUGAGACACAAAUUUUUUACAUGAAAAACCCUUACGGGAAAAAACCACGGACCCACAAAGACGUAAUUCCACUAUGAUAUAUAAGUUUGUCAACCUGUUUCAAAUAAACUAAUCAUUUUCGAUCACGUACCUCUCUGUUGCUCAUUGUUCUAGAGUAAUGGGCAUAUGAAAAAUGUCUUCUCUUGCCAUUUAAAGGAAAAGUAAUAUCAGUUUCUCUAAUAGGCCCCUUCUCAACUAUUAUAUCCCUCGCUUUGUUAUCAAGACUAGCCCAAUUUGCUGGAUCAUAAAUAUCCAUAUGAAUUGGUUCUUCAUCAACACUAGCAGAUUUCAUGGGAGAUGGAUUAUGGUCAUGAUCACUUACAUUUUUAUCGUCCGCGUCGAUGUCAACAUUGUCUUCUGUAUGGAUAUCAUCUUCCAGAUUCACAUUACUUGGUUCUCCCACAAGAACUAACGUCAACUCGUCUGGAUUUUUUAAAGUGGGUGGGUUACUCGUCAAAAACUUACGAAGAGAUCCUCUUUAUGAAUCUACCAAUUUUUGAUCUCCUUUCCUCUUUCUUCUUUUUGCAGCACCUGAUUCAGGCUUCAUACUAAUUCUGAAAAUAAAUAAAUACGAAUCAAAAAUAGGGCAUAAACUACCCAAAAAUUAAAAAGGAAUCACUAGAAGUAAUUGCAGGUCUAGAUCCAUCAGGCAUCAGUAAAUUGCAAACUAGAACGAGAACUGAUCUACGAAUCAAACUAAAAUGAGACUCAUCAGGAGAACAGACGGCAACUUAUUCCAAGGGUUUGCUUAUUCCAAACUAGAACUGAUCCAAACUAGGACGAGAUCCGUCAGGAGAACAGACAGACUAACGUACGUUACGGGAGAAGCUACAGACGAGGGUCCAGGACAUGCCCGGGUGCCGACGUGCGUGCCUGCGUGGCAAUGAAGCCGGCGUCCAGGGCCUGCCCGUGUCGUAGUCUCGUAGUCCUGGUAGUAGUUUCGUACUCUUUUGUGCCUGCAGAUGAGAGUCGCGGCGUGCAGGGAGACGAGAGACUUUACAAUGCCUAGUAUAGGCCUGACCUAGUAUACGUAUUAUAUAUGUAGCGGGCCUCCAACAAUUUUGGGCCCCGUGCGGCCGCCCCGCGGAACCCCCCAGGGCCGGCCCUGAUCGCCGUGCUCUGCCUGUUCACCACCAAGCACAGCGCCGCGCCGUUCAGGGAGCUGCUGGUCAUGCUUAACCACGAAACCAUUUUUUAGAACAUCAAUUUUAUUUUAUUUUUCCACCCCUCCACAAAUGACAUUUCAUCAUGAAAAUUUGCAUACGGGUGAAAGAAACAUCAACAUUUCUGACACAAAAAUAGAUUUUUUUUUAAUUGUUUACUAGUCUUUUGAAUUUUGUUGAAAAAAAAUAAAAAAAUAUUUACUAGUUUUUUGAAUUUUAUUGUUUAUCUGAGAUCACUGGAGCUCGGGAUCACAGUACUCCAUGUCCGGUUUUGCCCAUGUAUUUCUUUGGAUGCUCCGGUGGGUUUAAGUUUUGUGCUAGCAACCUCAUUCGUAAACUUGCAACAUUUCAUGCUACUAUCUCUCCGUUCCUAAAUAUUUUAUUUUAAAUGUUUUAUUAGGAUACUAUAUACAAGUAUUUAUAGACAUAUUUUAAAAUAUAGAUUUAUCAUUUUGUUUUGUAUAUAGUCUUUUAUUAAAAUAUUUGAAAAAGUUUAUAUUUAAAAAUGAAGGGAAUAGGAGACUAAAACACAACGAUAAAUGUGUACCGAACAAGCGAGUGGGUUUGCGUAGUUGACUGAUAAUUGGUUGACACGACAAAUUCAAUGCAUGAAUAAUGACAUUUUUCAAAAAUCCAUCAUGGCUAUGUCAAAAUUUACUUUUAAAGGUAAAAGAAAAAAUAGCUGACACAUAUUAUGGCAACUUUCGUCUAAACAUCAUGGCAAUUCGUAUCCAAUAAACAUGAUAACUUUUAAUCUAAAAAAGUCGACGAAACAUAUUGAUAUGAAAUAUAGUUUUGAAGAUGUCGUCGCGAUGGAUUUAAUGAUAAAAACAGAUCUUCAAUCGAAUUUCUUAUUUAAAAGAUUAAAGAUUUUAAAACUGGAAAUCGGAAAAUAUUUUCACAUGCAAGCAUGCGGUGGCGUGAUUAUAAUUUAUGUGUUAUAGGCGUAUAGACGAAUGUUGCUUCCACCUUAGAUAUGAGAAAAAGAUGAAGAAGCAUCACAAGAAGGUGAUAGAGCAACGUCACAAAGAAUGGGCAGCUAAAUUUAACAAGAUUAUGACAGAGGGUGCAGCAAAGAGAGAGCGGGAGAAUGAACUCUUCAUGAAGAGGGUGCUGGAAGAGGCUUCAAAAAUGCGCAAAAGGGAAGACGAAGAGGAAGAAGAGAGGAAGAAGGGGCCUUGCUCGACACAAUAGAGCCGGAGGCUUCUAUUCUCAUGUGCGCUUUCAUCUUUGAACCAUAUAUGUUGUUAAACCCUAUGUGUUGUUGAACCUUGUUCGCUUGCGCGCUUUCUCAUUAUGAAAUCCACUAUUAUGUACUUUAAGAACCUAUUAUGCAUCUUUGGACGUGUGUGUGAACUUUAAUGGGAACUCUUUGUGAUGUUUGUACUUUAUAUGGGUUAUGUGAUGUGUGUAUUCUUUGUUCUUAGUUGCAUAUGUGAUGUUUGUACCAGAACCUGCUAAGUGUGGUCUGUAUAUGGACUAUGUGAUGUUUGUACUAGGAAAGUGUUUAGGUGCAAAAUCUUGUAUGUGAAACGCCAGCCCCCUGGCAUUUCAGCCUGUCCCAGAAACGUCAGCCUUACCAGCGUUGCCUUAGACCAGUACCUCGAUUUCGUGGUCUUCGAUAGCGUUGGCAUAGGGCAUACAAACGCCAGCCCCCCUGGCGUUUCAGCCUGUCCUAGAAACGCCACCCUUACUGGCGUUCCCUUAGACCAGUACCUCAAUUUCGUGGUCUUCGGUAGCGUUGGCGUAGGGCACAGGAACGCCAGCCGUUAGGGCAUUGCAGCCCCUCCCAGGAACGCCAGCGUUGUUGGCGUUUCUUUAGACCAGAACCUGGCAGUAGCCUUCAAAGUAGCCCUUUAGACUAUAGUUGGCAUUUCUAACUUCAAAGUAGCAUGACAUGACAAGUUCACAAUUCAAAGUACUUAAAAUUUCAUAAGCCAAGUUCUUACUUCAAACUUCAAACUACAUAAAACUCCAUAAGCCAAGUUCUUACUUCAAACUUCAAAGUACAUAAAACUCCAUAAGACAAGUUCAAUACUAGCAUGACAUGACACUAAUAGUUCAUACUUCAUUUCCUUCCUCUCUUCGCACCCAUCUUGCCCUUAGUGACGUAGCCCUCUGGAGUAUUCUGCCAGCCAGGACGUCGGAUGUUCCUUGAGCUAGCUCGACGUGUUUCUUCCGUCGCCUGAGUGGGUUGACUUGGCUGCGGAGCAUCUUCCAUCUACGAAGCCCCAAACUCAAUGAAGUACGGAUCUGCGGCCUCAUUGUCUGACUCCUCUUCUUCUUCAAACUCCUCAACAUGUGCUCGGCUAGAAGAAGCACGUGCUCGACUCGAAGACGGACGAGCGGAAGAGGCCCGUGGACGGCUGGCAGACGGACAAGCGGAAGACUGCACAUCCAUCCUGUACUGCGCACGUGCCCUCACAUCGGUGGACGAAACACCGUGACAAGAAAGUAAAGCCGCUAGUGUGCGACACCGAUUGGCGACCUUCUGCGCAAGGAAAAGAUAAUGACGUGUUAAUAUGCUAACAAAGCUACGACAACUAAAACAAAGGUUAAUAUGACAUCUAACCUGCAGAGUAGUUCUAACAAAGCCGUCCGUUUGUGAAGAUGGGGCACGACCAAGGGCCAUGUUACUAUCGUUGAUACAUCUCCAUAGCGUCGUGCCCUGGAUAAAACAUAUGUGACAUACCACCCACGAAUAAAUGACACUUGUUCAUAUUUUAAAGGAUGGACGUACCACUCGGUCAUGAAGAGGGCCAUAGUCAAGAUGCGCUCCAACUGUCUCCCUAAUAGAAUUGUUGAAUGCAGCAUCAGCAACCUCACUCGGCAGUAAGUCCAGGCUGCCUUAUGGAUAACUCUGUACUUUGUACGCAUCCACUCCAAAUGCCUUAAAUAUGCCGCCUCGUCAGUGUCGGGUGUUUGAUCUUUUUAACUCAAGCAUUUCUCUGAGCAUUCCACAUGUCCACCCAAAUCAUGUGGUGCUCCUUCCAAUUGAUGACACUCUUAUUGGUUUGCCGGUUUGUCCUACAAAGCAAUAGUUCAAUACUACAUCGGUUCCAUUUUUUCGUGUUAGACAUUGAUCAACAGGAUAAACACGUGAUACAGAAUACUCACUUAUGUAGCUGCACACUUGUCUUGACGUAAUCCGGCGGGGUGCGUUGUUGUACCCCGAACUGCUUUGAAACACGAUGAGGAAGAUGCCACUCCACCGCAAAGAAGCAUAUCAUGAGGCACUGCACACGCCAAAGAUGUUGGUCACGAAGGCACAUGUUGCUCAGAGGGAACUGCCUAAGUACCGUGUACGGCCUCCAAUUCACCUACAUAACGACAAGUAACUCGACCAUCCAUAAAAAUUUCCAGACAAUUUGCAAAAGCAUUUACCUGUUCAUAAGUCAGCAUGUCUAGCUCGCUUAUGUAUGCCUUAUACGGCCCCAUAGCUGCGAUACUCGUCCAUUGGACAUUAGCCCAUGUGUGUGCAAUAGUGGGGUACCGCUCCUCAUCUCUGUCAAACGGGUACAUCCAAGGUUCUUCCGGAGGAAGGCUGAGGUUACGACCAACACGCAUACGCUCCCACAUCCAAACAUGUAGGGCCCAAACAAAACCUCCAAGAGUGGACGUCGGCUUGCUCCUCAUACAUGCUCCAUCCAACUACAAAUUUAAUAAAAUGAAAAUGCAUCAUAUACCCAUUUAAUAAAAUGAAAAUGCAUCAUAUACCCAUUGAAUAAAACGAAAAUGCAUGAUAUUAAACCGUACCUGACGGUACAAGAAGGCUAGUGCCGCCGAACCCCAACUCCACUUAACAUCCCAGUCACGAAGAGGAUCCAAAAACAUCCACGAGGUUCUGUCCCCCGUGACAUCCGAAAACACCACUUGGGUCAAAAGAUUCCAGAGGUAAGCCCUGGCGAGCCUCUCCACAGCAGCCGGACUAGCAUCCCUUGGGCACUUGCGAAAAUAUCUCUGUAUCCAAGAGAACAACACACCGGAUGGCCUAGGAUCCUUCCUGGUUUCAUUAGUUCAUGGCUCGGGUUCAACACCAACCAAUGCUGCAACCCGUUGUUGCCAUCCAUCGGACCUAACCUUCCCUGUGAGAGCCCUGCCCUCGAUAGGAAGCCCGGUGAUCAUAGCAAUAUCAUCCAGAGUUAUUGUCAUCUCACCAAGAGGAAGGUGAAAAGAGUGCGUCUCCGGCCUCCAACGGUCCGUAAGGGCGGUAAGGGCCGUGGCGUUUAACCAUGGUGGUGUGCCUUUAAAGUGGAGCACAAACUGAAGAUGAUCCAUUCUUCUAAAAUAAGGCUCGUACCGAGGGUCAUAUAACAGAGAUUCAUUCGAGUUGUGCCCCCUCAAACGAAGUACUCGAGGAACCUAAACCAACAAACGCAUAAUUUGUUACUUGUCACAACUUGUCACAAUAUGAAAAUCAUGGAAUAUAGAAAAAUAAUCAUCAAGACCAUCAUAACUACCUCUCCUCUUUCAACUAGCAUCGCACGAUGCUUCUGCUCGUAUAACUCAUCAAGGCCCGAAUAUUUAUCCGGCUGAAACAUCCUACAUAAUAUGAACAAAAUUCUUUUAGGCAUUAAAAUAGUGUGAACUAAAUCUACGCAUUCACCUAGUGCCANNNNNNNNNNNNNNNNNNNNNNNNNNNNNNNNNNNNNNNNNNNNNNNNNNNNNNNNNNNNNNNNNNNNNNNNNNNNNNNNNNNNNNNNNNNNNNNNNNNNNNNNNNNNNNNNNNNNNNNNNNNNNNNNNNNNNNNNNNNNNNNNNNNNNNNNNNNNNNNNNNNNNNNNNNNNNNNNNNNNNNNNNNNNNNNNNNNNNNNNNNNNNNNNNNNNNNCACUAAUAUGAACUAAACCUAGGCAUUCAUCUAGUGUCAAUAAUAUGAAGUACACCUAGGUUAUACCUACAGCCACCAUAAACUACACCUAGAGCCACCAUAAACUACACCUAUUAACCAUCACAAAAUAGAUUUUACUUCAAAACAUACGUUACACCUAGUGCAAAAAAAGCUACACAAUUACAAAGUCAUUACAAAAACUAAUUGAAGGAAUUGGAGGAGCUUACCGGCCUCUUCGAUUUACCCCAAAAAAACAAUAAAACGGUUGAGGGAGGAGGGAGAUCGAAGGGGGGAUCUGGAGGAGGAGAGAGACUUUUUUCAUCAAAGAACGAGAGAAGAGGAGAAAGGGGGUUGGUGACCGACGAGGUCGGGCCGGCAGAGUAUAAAGCCAAGAAACGCCAGGGUGCCUGACGUUGCACCUAAGGCCGGCAACGCCACACGGGCUUGCGUUUCCCAUGGCCAGCAACGCCACAUUAGACAGGCGUUGCGCACAUGGCCAACAAUGCCACAAUAGAGUGGCGUUUCUAUGAAGAUCUGCAACGCCACGGUUUUUGACAUUUCAAAAGGAUCAAAACGUGAAAAUGUUUGGGAACGAGUUCGUUCUGUGUUUAUUUUACGACUAGUGGAUCAGAACAGUGAAAAAACCCGCACGUGUGAGCGUUAUCAGAACCCUAUACAUAUAUAUAUAUAUGCAUGAUAGUCCGUAACAACAUACAAACAUUCUAAUAGCAAUUGUAGUUGAGAAAAAUAUAUUUUCUUUAACUAUAAUUACUUAGGUACAAUAAAAAUAAGACGCUAGCACAUACUACAACGAUAAAGGCAUAUACAGAACAAGCAAGUGGAUUUGCGCAGCUGAGUGAUAAUUGGUCGAUCCGAUAGGAUUGGAUGACGAUAAACCCCCCUAUCUCUACAGUCUACAGUCUACACGCAGGUGGGCAGGUGUCCUUCGUCUUUCUCCACACCAGGAUUAAACAUAUCAAUCCAUCAACGUCACGCGCCACUGCUUCGCCGACGCACAGAUCCACCAGCCAAGCGUACGUUUCACCCCUCCUCGCCCAACACUACCGAAAUCAACCUCCCAAGAACAGCGUGCCCGGAUCACCGGCGAACCGCGAGCACUCCGUCGGCUGCGCCUGUUUGACGCGGCGAUGAGCUCGGCGGCGCACCAGCGGCAGCCCCACGCGGUGCUGAUCCCGCAGCCGGCGCAGGGGCACG